AGAGAGAGUUUCGUUUAUUAGUGUUCUGUGAUUUCAUCAAGUAUUCUAUAUGACCGUCGACUAACUAUAGUACUAUAGUUAAUAAUAAUUGUUGCUUCAUCUCUGUGGAGCCAUAUAGUUGUUGGAAAAAACAAAUUAUUGAAAUCUGUUUAUAGAAGUUGAAAAUGGCUGGAGGUGAUGCUAACGUCGAUACUUCAAAGCUGACUGGAUUAAAUAAAAUAUUCAAUGGGCAAACGAUUAGGGGAAGAGCACAUGUAGCCAUGGCCACAUAUGCUGGUGUAGGACUGAUCAUAGCUUAUUUUUCAUUGAAACCUAAAUCAAAGAAGUGAAUAUUUUCAAAUUAGUUUCUCGUAAUAUUAUCAUGUCUGUUUUAGAGAAUUGUAUGUUGCAAAUUCAAUAAAAUUAUUGUAUGAUUUUUUUCCCA